GAUGAACGCUAGCUACAGGCUUAACACAUGCAAGUCGAGGGACCGGCGCACGGGUGAGUCACACGUAUCCACCCUGCCUUUUAGUCGGGGACAGGCUUUCGAAAGCAAGAUUAAUACCCGCUAUAAAUGAUGGGGAUGCGUUCCAUUAGGUUGUUGGUGAGGUAACGGCUCACCAAGCCUUCGAUGGAUAGGGGUACUGAGAGGAAGGUCCCCCACAUUGGAACUGAGACACGGUCCAAACGCCUACGGGAGGCAGCAGUGAGGAAUAUAUGUCAAUGGGCGCGAGCGUGAACCAGCCAAGUAGCGUGAAGGAUGAAGGCUUAUGGGUCGUAAACUUCCUUUAUAUAAGAAUAUGUAUUAUAUGAAUAAGGAUCGGCUAACUCCGUGCCAGCAGCCGCGGUAAUUC
rnacentral:rRNA from 1 species